rnacentral:rRNA from 1 species
CCCUUAGAUGUUCUGGGCCGCACCCGCGCUACACUGAAGGAGGCAGCGUGUACUCCUGGAUCGAAAGAUUUGGGUAACCCGCGAAUCUCCUUCGUGCUAGGGAUUGAGGUUUGCAAUUAUCCUUCAUGAACGAGGAAUUCCCAGUAAGUGCAAGUCAUAAGCUUGCGCUGACUACGUCCCUGCCCUUUGUACACACCGCCCGUCGCUACUACCGAUUGAAUGAUUUAGUGAGGACUUCGGACUGGGACCGAUGCGGCUUUCGGGCUGCGUCGGUAUUCUGGAAAGAUGUCCAAACUGUAUCAUUUAGAGGAAGUAAAAGUCGUANCA